GACGAACGCUGGCGGCGUGCUUAACACAUGCAAGUCGAACGAAGUGGCGUACGGGUGAGUAACGCGUAAUCAACCUGCCCUUCAGAGGGGGAAAACAGUCGGAACCGACUGCUAAUACCGCAUACUGAAGGAGGGCAUUGCAUCUCAUUAGCUAGUUGGAGGGGUAACGGCCCACCAAGGCUAGGAUAAGUAGCCGGUCGGAGUGGGAGAACGGCCAACAUGGGAAUUAGAAACGGCCCCGACGUCUACGGGGGGCCACAGUGAGGGAUCUUCCCAAAUGGAGGAAAGUCAAGCGGAGCAACGCCGCGUGAGUGAUGACAGCCUUCGGGAUGUAAAGCUCUGUUAAUCGGGACGCGGUACCGGAAUAGAAAGCCACGGCUAACUACGUGCCAGCAGCCGCGGUAAUUC
rnacentral:rRNA from 1 species